AUGGCUGCUCCUGGCGCAGCUGCGAGCGGGGGUGGAGAAGAUGCAGCCCGUGCGGAUUGCGCGGCACGGAAGAAGCUGGAGGAGGCCCUGGGUAAACUCGACAUCUCUGAGGAAGAGGCAACUCCUUUGGUACUCGAUGAUCGUGUCGAGGGAACGCCGGCGAGGUGGUUGCUGGCUGGCAAGAUUCUACACCGCAACUUGCUCCAUAUACAGACCAUCACCAAGGCCUUACGGCCGGCUUGGGGUAACCCGAGGGGGUUGAAGUUCAGAUCUGUGGGCUUUAACACGUUUGUGGCUGAGUUCGAAACACAAUGUGAUCGGGAUCGCGUGUGGGGUGGAUCGCCAUGGCAUAUUAACAAGCAUGCCGUGGUGUUGGCUGAAUUUGAAGAACAUAUGAGACCGGAUGAGGUUAAGUUUGACAAGCUCCAAAUCUGGGCUAGAGUAGUGAACUUACACUUUAAUUUAAGGGAUGAAUCAUGGUGGGCACCAAUCGUAAAACAGAUGGAUAAACACGCCCAGUCAAUUAGCUUCGAUCACAAAUGGUGGUUUUCUGAGAGCAAGGAUUACCAUUGA
rnacentral:rRNA from 1 species